UGUUCUCAUCUUCUUCCAUUCUAGUUGCUAUAAAUACUCCUGAACCGGCUUAUUUUCUUCUUGCACUUCAUAGGGUUUAAUCUACGUCAUUUCUCGCAGCUUACCGUAGCUUGCCGCCGCCGCGGGAAGCUUUACUGAAAAUUUCACCGCUUGUUUCUUUUCGGUUAUAACACCGGCGGUCUCUAAUUCGCUUGGUGCAGGUCGGGAACCGCUUCGCUCAGCCUACGGUUUACGUUUCUCGUUGGCCGGUCCUUCUUCAUCUUCCUUUCUUGUUCUUCUCUGCUUUUGUUUUUUUGCUUAAUUUCUUUGCCGCUGUGCGGUGUUAUGUUGUUGGAAAAAUGUGUGGGCGAAUUGGAUCCCGCCUUGCAUCAACUGAAUCGGAAACCGUGGUGAAGAUUGCUUCGGUUCUUGCCUUCCUCCAGAUCUCAGCAUAACUAAGAAUAAUGGAAGCUGUUUCUUAAAAAUGGGGGGAGUUUGUCUCCAUUUGUUGAAUCACUCCACGCUAGUAUCCUAUGGAAAUAGAGACAGUCCGAUUCUUUGUGUUCUGAAAAAGAAAACAUGAGUGUGAGGAUUUUGUUUCUAUUCGUAGUAGAAAAUAGCAUAUAGUCUUUUUCUCUCUUCCUCAGUUUGGUAGUCUUUUGAUUUUUAGGGAUUUUUCCCCUAAAAAAAAGAAAAAUUAAACCCUAAACAACUAGGUGUGUCUUUAAAAUGAAAUCCAGUUUUGAAAGCGUAUAAUAAAUCAAGUGAUUUUGUGUAUGAUAGACCAUGUGGUGAAGGUGAAUCAUUAUUUUUUCUUUAAGAAGAAAAAAUCUCAAUAGAUCAAUUCUCAAAUAAUUUUUUAAAAAGUUCUAAAUAUGUCAAGGUCUUCACUCUUGAAAGUUUAACUAAGUCGAAACUGUCGAUAAACUCUAGGACUGAGAUUAUAAUUUAACUAACCAAAAAAUUACUUAAAUUACAAAUCUUUGAAGUAUUGUUCAAUGCCUUGAUUUUCUCUUUUGAAAGAAUAAACAAGCAACAAAUACAUACAAAACUACAAAACAUAAUAAACCACGAAAGUUAAGGAGAAAAAAGAUUCAACCAAGAUGCUAUGGACGUUAAUGGACAAGAGAGUUAAUAUCACCCUUGGUUGUUAUCUCUUCAAGAAUCUUAACCUCAUUGUAUAGAGGAAGUCCUCUUAAAGUAUUCCAAUUGACCACAACUUAAACGGUUUAAAAGAUGUAUGUGUUUUUGUGGUUCUCUUGUGAGUUUAUUCUUAUUCUUUAAAAAUUAAACUUUGACGCUUAUACAUCGAAGGUGCAAUAGACUAUGUUUGGAGAAACACAUUAAAAACCAUACAGAUGUCUUGUUAAAGUAAACCGAAAAACUUGGUGGAUGGAUUUUCUGUUUUCCCUUCUUUCAGUUUCGAAUCUUUUUUAGCCAAUAAAGUGAAAGAGAGAAAAAUAGAAGAGUCUAUGUGCCACAAUGUUAUUAGAUAAUAUAUUUUAUGGAUUCUUCAUCUUUCUUAAUGCCGAUCGUGUACGAUGAAUGGAGACACAGUAUGUUGUGGAGUCUCGCAUUGAAAGAAUGAAAGAUUUUGAUUUUCUACAAGUAGCUGAAAAAAAUUAAUUUGCCAAAAAAAGCAUUUGUGGCUUGGAUUGGAGUUUUCAAAUUGAGGUUGUGGUGGAAGUAGAAAAUUUUCUCAUGUGGGUUGUUACCUGCUUAGAUUGUUCGAGUAACUUCGCUUGCAUAUAGAGAAAUAUCUUCAUUGCAACUUUACCUUUUUAAAUUUUUAUCAAGUGAUCAUUGAAAUUGAUCUCAGAUCUAAAAUCGCUCCUUCUUUCUUCAAUCUAUAUUUUGUCAUAUAAUUUUGAAAAUUACAGAAUAUAAAAUAGCUUCUUUGUUCUAUGUCAUGUAUUGAUGAUUUUUUCUUCUGAUUUCAUCCCUUCUUCGAUGAGUGUACAUUCAAGAUAAGAUGUUUGUGAUAAUCUUGGAGAGCAUAUGGUUCACAAGGAUUUAGUAUUGAGGGCAUGUCGCUUUUUGAUGUUCUAUAUUUCGUCUUACGGAAGCUACUAACCUUAAUACUAAACAUAUUCUUGCCCUAUGUCAAGGGAGGGAUUGAAAGAAAAAAUUAUACAUAAUUAAGAUGGAAAAUAGGAGGAAAGCUUGAGUAGGUUAAGGAAGAAAUGACUAAAAAUGAAAGGAAGAACGGAUGACAUAAUACUUGAAGGUACAAUUGGAUAGCACUCAUCAAUGAAAGAAAAGUUAGAAAAAUAUAUAUAUAUAUAUAUAGCACAUAGCAUAUUUCCUUUCUUUGAAGAAUUAAAAAAAUAAUGAUAGAAAAUUUUUAAAAAUCGUUUUGUGAUAUCAGAAGCAACUGACUUGAUUUGGUUCGAUUUUCCAUUUUGAGUAUACCAAAACAAUAAACUAUCAUUUAGUUGAUAGUUUGAUAUCUCUGAAUAACAUAGCUUUAAUAUUUUUAAUUCACAAUGAUAUGCAUAUUACAGAUGUUGCUGCCCUAUAGUCAUUAAAAUGAAAAGGAAAGCACAGUGAGUAGUAUAAAAGCUUAUCUUGUGAAAAGAAAAUUUGAAUCACUGAUUCUUACUAACUUAUGUCUUGUCAUGUAAAGUAGUAAAAUAUUGUGAGUUGGAGUUGUUUUAACUUUUCCAAGCAUAUUUGCCUAAUUGUCAAAUGUUGCUUUUUUAUUUUUGAUUUUCUUAUCCCUCAGCUUUACACAUAGCUACCACUUUGCUUAAAGGAACGGAUUUUGGACUUUUGGUUUAUUGAUAACUUUAGUGAUAACCUUUAAGGCUCUAGGUUUUUAUGCAAUUAGGGGGUUCAUUCAUUUUUUUAAAACCUUUUUUUUUUUCUCUCUCUAAAGCCAAGGCUAUGCAAGGUCAUCCUGAUUUGACAUAAAAAUUAUUUGUUUGCUACUUUUCAGAACAACAAUAAUUUACACAUUUAGGAACGUCCAUUAUGAAACUAAAUGUUUUCGUGAUAGAUUAGGUAAUAAUAGAGAUUGAUGCAAUAAAUAAGAAAGGACGAGAAGAAAAAGCAUGAUAUUCUUGUCUGCACUAAUAAACAAAAUAAGCAUUUUCAAAUAUAACAAAUAAAUUUAGAAAUUUAUUUCAUUAAUUUUACCAUUUUCAAUAAUUUAUAAAGCAAAUGGAAGUUCCUAGCUAUAGAAAUAUUUUGAUGUUAUUGUUGUCCUAUUAAAAGAAAAUAAGAGAAAUUUGAUUUUCUUUUUUAUUUUUUAAAUCGAUGGGGAAUAAUAGAAAUAUUUUAAAUUCACCACAUUUUUUUUUUUUUUUUUGCGUUGGAUUUCAAAUCAUCCUUCCAAAUCAUGGAAACCAUACAGGGGUAAAAGGUUCAACAGGUUUCUGAGUUUUCAAUAAAACUUACCCAUAGUUCCAAUCGAAUUGAAUAAAUUCGUACAUUUUCAAUUGUCCAUAAUCUAGUGGACAAAUAAAAGCUCUGCAAGCAAAACUUGCAAUUUAAUCUAAUACCUUCUAUAUUUUUAGAAAGUAAAAACUUGAAUAUAGAUUCUAAAUAACCUUAUUUAUAAAAAAAAAAUGUAAACAUUAUAUACUUUUUUUAGUUCAGUAUUAAACAAGAAAACAUCAAUCCCAAGAAGUUAUACUUGUCUUAUUUGUCAAUUUUUCAAUAAUCAUGUAAACAAAUUGAAAUGCAUUUGGGAGUUCCAACAACAAAAUCUAAGUACCCAUUGAAAAACAUUGUUUCAACUGUUUUUUUAAAUAUAUAUAUAUAUAUAUAUAUAUAUAUAUAUAUAAGAGCAAGCCUUUGUCCACUCAAUAAAAUUCUCCCUAGGACUAAUGAAUGAUAUUAAUUAGGGCAGAGCACACCAUUAGAGUAUUAAGAAAUGAAAGUUACCUGAGAGAUUGAUGGGUAGGCUGUUAAAUGCUGACGUGGCAUAUCACGACAAUGAGUUUGGGAAUUGGGGAUGUUAAGUGAAAAAUGGUAGAACUUCUAAAACAAAAACCAUGCUAUUUCUCUACUACCUUUUUGCCAUUGAUUGGGAUGAAGCUUUCCCAAAUCAUGAGAGCGAACCAUUAGACUUAAAGCAAUAGCACGCCCAAGCAUUAGCCUGGACCUUUCUACCACAUCUUAGACUUCCAAUAACUGAGACUUGCAACCAACCACUGAACCGUCCACCCAGCUUCAUCUGGGUAAAGCCAUAUAGGUCCAUCUUAGAAGGCUUUAUUCCCUAAAUUCUUCAUCUUACAAAGCAUUUUGGACGUUCUUUAGGGAAGAUUCAUUCCAACACAAGGCAAGGAGAAAGAAGAGAUAGCUAUAGCUUAUGUCUUUGUUUUCUUUUCAAACUCUUACUACCAUAAACUAUGUCAAUUAUCUAACUCCUUCCCACAAUUUAAAGAAAAUGAUAAGUAAGGAAGUCUACAUCAUUCUUUAACAAUUUGUUCAUCAAUCUGUUAUAUCAUAAUAACCAAAUGGGUCCAAUAUGAAGACUGUAUAGAACCUUUUUCCAAAGUAUAGAAACAAAGGUAUUCCUUCCCACAAUUUUAGCCUACAAAAUAUUAAUCCUAUCUAAACUGAUCACCAAAUACCAUUGGCAAAUUUCUUUGUACAAAUCUGAUUCUCUAGAAUCUCCCAUAUAAAGCACAGCCAUGGAUACAUCUUGACAUGGGUCUAAAUGAAAUAUAUACGCCCUAACUACAUUGGCAUGUCGCCGUGCCCAUAUUUGUGGUUAAAUUCUCUCCUUUUGAGUGACUGCCCAAAAAAUUCUAGACAUGGAAGAUGAAUGCAUCAACCUCAGAAGCAAUGUUCUUUUUCUUUUUUCAUUUAGGGUUUGAAAAAUACGGGUCUAAAUGAAAUAUAUACGCCCCUACUACAUCGUUUGAAGUUACUUUUCAACAAAAUGUAAUGGAAAGGGUACUUUCGAUAAUUUAGGGUUUGGAUUGAAAGUGUUUUUCAAAAAACUCAUUUUUAUUUGAACUCUUUUAAUAAAAAUGGUUUAAAAUACUUCAAAAACUAUUUUAAAUGGUUGUCAAACAAUCUAUUUUUUUCCAAAAUGAGAUUUUUUAAAUUAAGCACUUAAAAAGGAUGUAUUUCAAACACAUCUAUAAACUAGCUUUUUUUUUAAGGAUAAAGUCACGGAGGAAAGGAAGAUUUAGGUCCACAAUAACUUCCAUAAGAGUGAGGGGCAUCAAAAAGAAAAAGCUGAGGGGUUAUUUUCUUUCUUUUGUUGGACAAAGACAUAGAUGGGUAGAAGAUUUGAAACCAUGAUACAUAUUUUAAACCAACUGAAUUUUCCCAGUUGAACAGUCACUAACAAACUCUAACAGGUAAAUUCAAAGCUAGCAAUUCGAAACGCAUAGAAGUACAAUUUACAAUCACUAUGCUCUUCUACAAGAGACGACAACAAUUUACCUGAUCGUGCCUAGAACGAUGGCCGAUUUGAAAUCAAUGUAGGGUGAGAAUUUUCCACUUCAACUGGGUACCAUAUCGCCUUCUAUCUCCCCUGCAAAAGAUUGUUAAGAUGGCACCAGAGAAACAAAUAUUAUGAAUUCUAAGUUUCUUCAAAACAUAUCGCUUCUGUUUUGCUUAUUUGAAUAUGAAUGAAGUACACUAUCAGUCGAUUCAAUGGUUAAA